GGGUCAGUAGGUUGGUCGUGCCACCGGUACGUACUGGUCUCACUGAUUCCUCCUUCCUGAAGAACCGUAAUGCCAUUAAUUUGGUGUUGCGGGAAAACAGGACUGUUACUUUGAAAAAUUAGAGUGUUUAAAGCAAGCUAACGCUUGAAUACAUUAGCAUGGAAUAAUGAAAUAGGACGAUCGAUCCUAUUUUGUUGGUUUCUAGGAUUGACGUA
rnacentral:rRNA from 1 species